CAGUAGCCGCGGUAAUACGAAGGGUGCAAGCGUUACUCGGAAUUACUGGGCGUAAAGCGUGCGUAGGUGGUGGUUUAAGUCCGUUGUGAAAGCCCUGGGCUCAACCUGGGAAUUGCAGUGGAUACUGGGUCACUAGAGUGUGGUAGAGGAUAGUGGAAUUUCCGGUGUAGCGGUGAAAUGCGUAGAGAUCGGGAGGAACAUCAGUGGCGAAGGCAGCCCCCUGGGAUAACACUGACGCUGAGGCACGAAAGCGUGGGUAGCAAACAGGAUUAGAUACCCCCGUAGUCCCUGUCUCUUAUAC
rnacentral:rRNA from 1 species